rnacentral:rRNA from 1 species
AUUGAACGCUGGCGGCAGGCCUAACACAUGCAAGUCGAACGAGCGGCGGACGGGUGAGUAAUGUCUGGGAAACUGCCCGAUAGAGGGGGAUAACUACUGGAAACGGUGGCUAAUACCGCAUACUAUCGGAUGAACCCAGAUGGGAUUAGCUAGUAGGUGGGGUAAAGGCUCACCUAGGCGACGAUCCCUAGCUGGUCUGAGAGGAUGACCAGCCACACUGGAACUGAGACACGGUCCAGACUCCUACGGGAGGCAGCAGUGGGGAAUAUUGCACAAUGGGCGCAAGCCUGAUGCAGCCAUGCCGCGUGUAUGAAGAAGGCCUUCGGGUUGUAAAGUACUUUCAGCGGGGAGGCGUUACCCGCAGAAGAAGCACCGGCUAACUCCGUGCCAGCAGCCGCGGUAAUUC